CCUACGGGAGGUAGCAGUAGGGAAUCUUCCACAAUGGGCGAAAGCCUGAUGGAGCAACGCCGCGUGGGUGAAGAAGGUCUUCGGAUCGUAAAACCCUGUUGUUAGAGAAGAAAGUGCGUGAGAGUAACUGUUCACGUUUCGACGGUAUCUAACCAGAAAGCCACGGCUAACUACGUGCCAGCAGCCGCGGUAAUACGUAGGUGGCAAGCGUUAUCCGGAUUGAUUGGGCGUAAAGGGAACGCAGGCGGUCUUUUAAGUCUGAUGUGAAAGCGUUCGGCCUAACCGGAGUAGUGCAUUGGAAACUGGGAGACUUGAGGGCAGAAGAGGAGAGUGGAACUCGAUGUGUAGCGGUGAAAUGCGUAGAUAUAUGGAAGAACACCAGUGGCGAAAGCGGCUCUCUGGUCUGUAACUGACGCUGAGGUUCGAAAGCGUGGGUAGCAAACAGGAUUAGAUACCCGAGUAGUC
rnacentral:rRNA from 1 species